rnacentral:rRNA from 1 species
CUACGGGGCGCAGCAGUGAGGAAUUUUGCGCAAUGGGGGGAACCCUGACGCAGCAACGCCGUGUGAGUGAAGAAGGCCUUUGGGUCGUAAAGCUCUGUCAACUGGGAAGGAGUUAGUAUGCUUUAAUAGAGGAUACUAUUGACGGUACCAGUGGAGGAAGCGUCGGCUAACUCCGUGCCAGCAGCCGCGGUAACACGGGGGACGCAAGCGUUAUUCGGAAUUAUUGGGCGUAAAGGGCGCGUAGGCGGUCUUGUCGGUCAGGUGUGAAAGCCCGGGGCUCAACCCCGGACGUGCACUUGAAACAGCAAGACUUGAGUACGGGAGAGGAAAGCGGAAUUCCUGGUGUAGAGGUGAAAUUCGUAGAUAUCAGGAGGAACACCGAUGGCGAAGGCAGCUUUCUGGACCGAAACUGACGCUGAGGCGCGAAGGCGUGGGUAGCGAACGGGAUUAGAUACCCUCGUAGUC